AAAAUAAUAGUGAAUGCUAGUGUUAGAUGGUCAUUUUAUAAUAAAUAAAAAGAAAAUAAGCAGUUAGAAUAGAAAUAGAAUAGAGAG